rnacentral:rRNA from 1 species
AUUGAACGCUGGCGGCAUGCCUUACACAUGCAAGUCGAACGGUAACAGGUCUUCGGAUGCUGACGAGUGGCGAACGGGUGAGUAAUACAUCGGAACGUGCCCGAUCGUGGGGGAUAACGGAGCGAAAGCUUUGCUAAUACCGCAUGCGAUCUACGGAUGAAAGCAGGGGACCGCAAGGCCUUGCGCGGACGGAGCGGCCGAUGGCCGAUUAGGUAGUUGGUGGGAUAAAAGCUUACCAAGCCGACGAUCUGUAGCUGGUCUGAGAGGACGACCAGCCACACUGGGACUGAGACACGGCCCAGACUCCUACGGGAGGCAGCAGUGGGGAAUUUUGGACAAUGGGCGAAAGCCUGAUCCAGCCAUGCCGCGUGCAGGAUGAAGGCCUUCGGGUUGUAAACUGCUUUUGUACGGAACGAAAAGACUCCUUCUAAUAAAGGGGGUCCAUGACGGUACCGUAAGAAUAAGCACCGGCUAACUACGUGCCAGCAGCUGCGGUAAAAC